GAUGAACGCUGGCGGCGUGCUUAACACAUGCAAGUCGAACGGGAUCCAUCAGGCUUUGCUUGGUGGUGAGAGUGGCGAACGGGUGAGUAAUGCGUGACCGACCUGCCCCAUACACCGGAAUAGCUCCUGGAAACGGGUGGUAAUGCCGGAUGCUCCGACUCCUCGCAUGGGGUGUCGGGAAAGAUUUCAUCGGUAUGGGAUGGGGUCGCGUCCUAUCAGGUAGUCGGCGGGGUAACGGCCCACCGAGCCUACGACGGGUAGCCGGCCUGAGAGGGCGACCGGCCACAUUGGGACUGAGAUACGGCCCAGACUCCUACGGGAGGCAGCAGUGGGGAAUAUUGCACAAUGGGCGCAAGCCUGAUGCAGCGACGCCGCGUGCGGGAUGACGGCCUUCGGGUUGUAAACCGCUUUUGAUCAGGAGCAAGCCUUCGGGUGAGUGUACCUUUCGAAUAAGCACCGGCUAACUACGUGCCAGCAGCCGCGGUAAUACGUAGGGUGCAAGCGUUAUCCGGAAUUAUUGGGCGUAAAGGGCUCGUAGGCGGUUCGUCGCGUCCGGUGUGAAAGUCCAUCGCUUAACGGUGGAUCUGCGCCGGGUACGGGCGGGCUGGAGUGCGGUAGGGGAGACUGGAAUUCCCGGUGUAACGGUGGAAUGUGUAGAUAUCGGGAAGAACACCAAUGGCGAAGGCAGGUCUCUGGGCCGUUACUGACGCUGAGGAGCGAAAGCGUGGGGAGCGAACAGGAUUAGAUACCCUGGUAGUCCACGCCGUAAACGGUGGAUGCUGGAUGUGGGGCCCGUUCCACGGGUUCCGUGUCGGAGCUAACGCGUUAAGCAUCCCGCCUGGGGAGUACGGCCGCAAGGCUAAAACUCAAAGAAAUUGACGGGGGCCCGCACAAGCGGCGGAGCAUGCGGAUUAAUUCGAUGCAACGCGAAGAACCUUACCUGGGCUUGACAUGUUCCCGACAGCCGUAGAGAUAUGGCCUCCCUUCGGGGCGGGUUCACAGGUGGUGCAUGGUCGUCGUCAGCUCGUGUCGUGAGAUGUUGGGUUAAGUCCCGCAACGAGCGCAACCCUCGCCCUGUGUUGCCAGCACGUCAUGGUGGGAACUCACGGGGGACCGCCGGGGUCAACUCGGAGGAAGGUGGGGAUGACGUCAGAUCAUCAUGCCCCUUACGUCCAGGGCUUCACGCAUGCUACAAUGGCCGGUACAACGGGAUGCGACACGGCGACGUGGAGCGGAUCCCUGAAAACCGGUCUCAGUUCGGAUUGGAGUCUGCAACCCGACUCCAUGAAGGCGGAGUCGCUAGUAAUCGCGGAUCAGCAACGCCGCGGUGAAUGCGUUCCCGGGCCU
rnacentral:rRNA from 1 species